rnacentral:rRNA from 1 species
AACGAACGCUGGCGGCAGGCUUAACACAUGCAAGUCGAACGCCCCGCAAGGGGAGUGGCAGACGGGUGAGUAACGCGUGGGAACAUACCCUUUCCUGCGGAAUAGCUCUGGGAAACUAGAAUUAAUACCGCAUACGCCCUACGGGGGAAAGAUUUAUCGGGGAAGGAUUGGCCCGCGUUGGAUUAGCUAGUUGGUGGGGUAAAGGCCUACCAAGGCGACGAUCCAUAGCUGGUCUGAGAGGAUGAUCAGCCACAUUGGGACUGAGACACGGCCCAAACUCCUACGGGAGGCAGCAGUGGGGAAUAUUGGACAAUGGGCGCAAGCCUGAUCCAGCCAUGCCGCGUGAGUGAUGAAGGCCUUAGGGUUGUAAAGCUCUUUCACCGAUGAAGAUAAUGACGGUAGUCGGAGAAGAAGCCCCGGCUAACUUCGUGCCAGCCGCCGCGGUAACAC